rnacentral:lncRNA from 7 species
AAAUUGGAGGUAGGGUGAGGGAAGGGGAGGGUUGAAGGGAAAAUAAUGAAACAGAGGAAAAAAGAGAAUAACAAGUAAAAAGCAAUGCAUGUAAAUACAGAGCAAGCAAGUAGGAAAGCUAGGCAUAGCACAGCAAAAGAGAGCAAAGCAAAAGAAGGCAAAGAAUGACAAAAAGCAACCUUGCAGGAAUGGAGGAAUCUGUCCAGAGCUGUGCCCCUGCUUGCCACAGGAGCUGCGCGGGAGGAGAAGAACGUGGGCCAAAAGGAAUGGAGGAAUCUGUCCAGAGCUGUGCCCCUGCUUGCCACAGGAGCUGCGCGGGAGGAGAAGAACGUGGGCCAAAACGGUAAGAGGAGCUCCUUUGGGUUCUGGGCUUGAAGCAAAGCUGAGAAGCCAU